AGAGUUUGAUUAUGGCUCAGAUUGAACGCUGGCGGCAUGCUUUACACAUGCAAGUCGAACGGCAGCAUAGGGAGCUUGCUCCCUGAUGGCGAGUGGCGCACGGGUGAGUAAUACAUCGGAACGUGUCCUUUUGUGGGGGAUAACUGUCCGAAAGGACAGCUAAUACCGCAUAAGACCUGAGGGUGAAAGCAGGGGAUCGCAAGACCUUGCGCGAGAGGAGCGGCCGAUGGCCGAUUAGCUUGUUGGGGAGGUAAAGGCUCACCAAGGCGACGAUCGGUAGCUGGUCUGAGAGGACGACCAGCCACACUGGGACUGAGACACGGCCCAG
rnacentral:rRNA from 1 species